CCCAGAGGGGGACAGUUGUGCACAGCCUGACUGCUGCCUGCACGGUGUUGGUGUGUGAUGCGCGGAAAGUGCGACUCGCUUUCGGCCGCAGGGAGGCGAAGGGAGCGAGAGAAACGCGUCUGGAGGAAAAGAGGGAGAUAUUGAGACAGGGAGAGAGAGAGAGGAGAGAGGAUAUAUAAAGAUGAGACGCGAGAGAAGGUGUAGAUGAAGGAUCUCCCCCCCACAUACCUUCGGCACUAAGAACAUCACCACCUCCAGCGCCUCCUCCAAGAGGCCACUUCGCCAUGAGAUUUACCAUGAGGUACCAAUACCAACGCCAGUACCAUACAGAGGGGAAGCACCGGUAGAAUGAAAGAUCUAACGGGAACUUGAUCAUGAGAAAGCAAGGG